rnacentral:rRNA from 1 species
CAGAACGUCGUGAGACAGUUCGGUCCCUAUCCGUCGUGGGCGUAGGAAAUUUGAGAGGAGCUGUCCUUAGUACGAGAGGACCGGGAUGGACAUACCUCUGGUGUACCAGUUGUCGUGCCAACGGCAUAGCUGGGUAGCUAUGUGUGGACGGGAUAAGUGCUGAAAGCAUCUAAGCAUGAAGCCCCCCUCAAGAUGAGAUUUCCCAACUUCGGUUAUAAGAUCCCUCAAAGAUGAUGAGGUUAAUAGGUUCGAGGUGGAAGCAUGGUGACAUGUGGAGCUGACGAAUACUAAUCGAUCGAAGACUUAAUCAAAA